AACGAACGCUGGCGGCAUGCCUAACACAUGCAAGUCGAACGAGACCUUCGGGUCUAGUGGCGCACGGGUGCGUAACGCGUGGGAACCUGCCCUUAGGUUCGGAAUAACUCCCCGAAAGGGGUGCUAAUACCGGAUAAUGUCUUCGGACCAAAGAUUUAUCGCCUUUGGAUGGGCCCGCGUUGGAUUAGCUAGUUGGUAGGGUAAAAGCCUACCAAGGCGACGAUCCAUAGCUGGUCUGGGAGGAUGAUCAGCCACCCUGGGACUGAGACACGGCCCAGACUCCUACGGGAGGCAGCAGUGGGGAAAAUUGGACAAGGGGCGAAAGCCUAAUCCAGCAAUGCCGGGGGAGUGAUGAGGCCCUUAGGGUUUAAAAGCUCUUUUACCCGGGAUGAAAAGGACGGGACCGGGAGAAAAAGCCCCGGAAAACCCCGU
rnacentral:rRNA from 1 species